CAAUCUUCUGACUUAUUAACUUUAUUCAACCAACACCAAACAUUAACAGUGGAGCAGGGAAAUGAUUCCCAGAUGAGAUGAGUGUUCAUUCAAAUCAACCAGCCUUUUAACCAGCCUUGGCUUCUCUUCCAGCCUCAGAUACUUUCUUUGUUUGCUUCAUUUCAGGAGACUUUAACAUUGACUUUGAACCAGGACACGUGAUGAAACCAGUCAGUUCCCUUUCUCUGCACAGCCUGAACCAGGCUGCUCACGUCAAGGAACCUGAGGUUGUGGCUUGAGAACCUUUGAGGCUGGAGAACCAGCAGGCAGAAGCACCAGACGUAGACAUGCUACUGUCCAACCCUUUGGCUUGUCUGUGAUUAUGGCAGUAAACAUUCAGAUAAUCAAAUUAUCUAAAGAACGUUAUCUGGUCCUCCUGAGAACAACUUCAGGAACACGCAGAGAACAGCUUGUGUUCACGUUCAGGGAUCUCUGCCGGUUAAUCUGCUGAGAAAACAAGAGUUCCCACAUAGAGAGCAGGAUUACUGGGCCGGGACAACAUGGCCGUUACAUAAAUCCGGUGCGUGUUCUGGCUUGUGUUGUUGUUGUGGACUGAGGUGUAAGGUGCUGCUCCUCAUGGCAGCUGUCCCACACGUAAUGUUCCUAAUGUGGAGGCUGUAGGUGAGCCCAUAAGUGGAUUUGUGAAGCGAGCUAGGUUCAGUGACCAGAGGUGGAGCGGACCAAGAUAGAGAGCGACGCUGUGACCCAAACCUCCAUGUUAAGAACAGAUAAACCCAGUGGGGAGAACGCAGUCGCUGCUCGUCGGCGCGGGUCAGCAGGAGGUCCCCGUGGAAAAACCAGACCCUGGAGGAGCAUUCCAGAGAGAACAGGAACACGGCGUCCUCGUGGGCCCACCGGUGGAGUCUCCUCUGCUGGGUCUGGGAGCCAGAACCUGACUCAUCAGCUGCAUCCGUGCGGUGCAGGACGGGGAUCUCAUUCAGAAGAACAGCCGUUGGUUCUGGAUGGGGGUCACGAUGUGAAUGAGGAUGAUCCUGUAGUUGGAGUUGGAGCAGAUUGUCCCCCGUGGUGGUGGAGGAGGACUGGAGAAUAAAUGUUUCCUCAGAGUGGAGAAACCUUUCUAGCAGAUUCUGUGACUCAAGCUCACCUGGAUGAUCCCUCACACCGUUAUUAACUUCUUCUUCUGUGUUCUUCUGUUAUUGUGGAUGCCUUAUGUUUGUGUGGGUACAUGAGGAGGCUUAUCUGUUGUCAUGGCUGCCUGAUAUAAGGCGGAUCCAGUCAGACUGCAGGGAGAUUUAUGACAGGCUAAAUAUGACACAUCUCCACAUCAGUGCCUCUGGAAACUGGUCCAGGUUUGAAGAGUUAACUGAGUAAUGAUGCCUGACGAUCAUAGAAUAAUACGUGGGCGCUGUCAAAAUAUAGGAAACAGGAACGUGGGGGAUUAUUUUUAGUGCGCUGCCACUAAACUGGGGUCAAGACAAGAAAUGAUGCAAAGAUGUAAAAGACUUCAGGACAAGUCACACGUUGGUGUUUCUCACCCCAGGAGCUCGUUGGUGCUUUCGCCAAUUAGUCCCAUGUGGACUGUGACUGUCUCUCUAUGCAGAUUCAAAAUGACUGGCACCACACACUGCUCCACUGGUUCUGUUCGAGCUGAGGCCACAACACGAGUCCAGGUUCAAACGGAAAAACUUUAUUUAUCUGAAACAUUGGAGGCUGUUGUUUAGAUAUAAAUCUGGAUGUUUUUAUAACAUACAGUGACUAACAUUUGAUCUUUUCUAAAUAUUUGCCUAAAUCCUUUCUACACAACUUGCUCAUACUUGGUCAUAGGUUGAAGUUGAAGAAGCAGGUUCAGGUAGAAAUAAAAUAACUGAAGAAACCAGGAUGAAACCAGUAAAAAGAGAUAAGAACCAAAUCCUGUUAAAAUAAGCAUUAUUUUCACUUUCACAGCUCAGCCCUUCACGAUUAAAUUAUGAAUAUGUAAAUAUGAAACAUUUAAAUAUUUUAUAAAUAUAAAAAUUGAUAUAUGGGUUAACUCUGAUUGCUGUUCCUGCUCUGAGGUGUCAGCUUUGUUGGCAAAUCUCCAUU